GCUGGUUUGUAGUAGUGGUUAACUUGUCUGCUUCCCAAGCAGGAGACAUGGGUUCGAACCCCAUAACCCGCA